rnacentral:misc_RNA from 1 species
GAUGAAGAACGUAGCGAAAUGCGAUAAGUAAUGUGAAUUGCAGAAUUCAGUGAAUCAUCGAAUCUUUGAACGCACAUUGCGCCCUUUGGUAUUCCGAAGGGCAUGCCUGUUCGAGCGUCAUUUCACCACUCAAGCCUGGCUUGGUAUUGGGCGCCGCGGUCGAUCCGCGCGCCUCAAAGUCUCCGGCUGAACUGUCCGUCUCUAAGCGUUGUGAUUUCAUUAAUCGCUUCGGAGUGCGGGCGGCCGCGGCCGUUAAAUCUUUCACAAGGUUGACCUCGGAUCAGGUAGGGAUACCCGCUGAACUUAAGCAUAUCAAUAAGCGGAGGA